UCCGGUGGUACCGGUUUUGGCUGGUCGUGGGUGAUUUUGGCCCAUCGUGUGUAUUCUCUCCUCCUCGCCAGCAGCGGCGGUCAAAGCGGUGCGGAUGACCAUGGAGCAAUCCAGGCUCUUCCCAAUCCCAUCUCCCCCGUCCCCAAUCUCCAUCGCCGGCUUCUCUCUUCCUCCCCAAUCCCCACCCCUGUUGUCCACACCUUCCACCUAGGGUCUACCCCCUCCUCUCCCUCCGUGGCAACCAUGAACAUGCGGAGGCGUCCACGGUGCGCUCAGGCCGAGCUCCUCUGUGGCUGGUGGCAUUACCGUCACUUGCCGCUACAACUCCUCACUACGUCUCCGGUUGGUCCGUCGCACGACGGCCAGGAGCGUCUGCCACGGCAGUACGUACGUUUUGGCUGUGGCCAACAAGGGAGAUGUGGGUGAGGCACUCGGAAAUCUUUCCGAUGGCUACGAGAACGAAGGAGGGCGGCGCUCGGAGGAUCCUCUGGCGGCGAUCAGGGUCGACGGCCGCCAUGACUUUGAUGGGUCGGCUUUGGGUCAACGACCGCGCCGGAAAGCCCGCACCUCUCCGCCUCCAUCCGACCACGACGCCGUCGAGGAAGGCACUGUGGCACACCGUCCCUCUCUCCAUCUGACGCUCUCCUUCCCAUGUCUUAUUUUCUCCCAUGUGCAUAUCCUUUUUUUGGGCCUCUAUGAGGAUGGACAGGUUGGGUUGCCUGCCCCCGGUUAGGGAUUGGAGGUAACUGUCAGGGUGAAGUAGAGGGUAAGAACAGAGAGGUCCUCUUGGGCCCUGAAUCUCAUGGUGUUGGUUGUCUUCGGCCAGAUUGGAGGCUGCAGGCAGGCUGAACAGCAGCAGAUAACCCCUGCCAAAGAGGAAGAGCAGAUGUAGAUACCGGUCACAUGGCUGUAGAUGCUGAUCAAGAAUCAAAUUGGCUGUAUUUUUGGUUAACUUGAUGAGCUAUUAGCACUAAGAACAUAAA